UUGGAGGGCAAGUCUGGUGCCAGCAGCCGCGGUAAUUCCAGCUCCAAUAGCGUAUAUUAAAGUUGUUGCAGUUAAAAAGCUCGUAGUUGAAUUUCGGGGUUCUACCGUUGGUCGGGCUAUUGUCUGUACUGGCGUGUAGAAUUUCUACCUUCUGGGGAACUAUCAUGUUAUUAAUUUAGCGUGGUAGGAAACCAGGACCUUUACCUUGAAAAAAUUAGAGUGUUCAAAGCAGGCUUAUGUCUGAAUACAUUAGCAUGGAAUAAUAAAAUAGGACGGUGGUCCUGUUUUGUUGGUUUCUGAAUCACCGUAAUGAUUAAUAGGGAUAGUUGGGGGCAUUAGUAUUCAAUUGUCAGAGGUGAAAUUCUUGGACUUAUUGAAGACUAACUACUGCGAAAGCAUUUGCCAAGGAUGCUUUCAUUAAUCAAGAACGAAAGUUAGGGGAUCGAAGACGAUCAGAUACCGUCGUAGUCUUAACCAUAAACUAUGCCGACUAGGGAUCGGACGAUGUUAACUUUUCUUGACUCGUUCGGCGCCUUACGGGAAA
rnacentral:rRNA from 1 species